AAAGAAGCCUCUAAAGCCACUAUCAACUGGCGGUCAUCAUUAAUUAAAGAAACUCGCUACAUAAUCGUAAACACCCGCUAACAUUAACUUCACUUAAUAAGCUUAUAUACCGCCGCAUAGAGUUAAAAAUCAUAAUAAACCUCAAAAAUUAGAAUCAAAAAAAUUCAGGUCAAGGUGUAGCCAAUAGUAAAGAAAUAGUAAGUUACACUAAAAACAAUUUAAGGAAAUAAGCCAAACACUUAACAGAAAAAGAAUUUAUUUGCACAGACAAGCCAUAAACUUAUCUAGAAUCCAAACCAAUGACGC
rnacentral:rRNA from 1 species